rnacentral:rRNA from 1 species
AUUGAACGCUGGCGGCAUGCUUUACACAUGCAAGUCGAACGGUAACAGGGUGCUUGCACCGCUGACGAGUGGCGAACGGGUGAGUAAUGCGUCGGAACGUGCCGAGUAGUGGGGGAUAACGCAUCGAAAGGUGUGCUAAUACCGCAUACGUACUGAGGUAGAAAGUGGGGGACCUUCGGGCCUCACGCUAUUCGAGCGGCCGACGUCUGAUUAGCUAGUUGGUGAGGUAAAGGCUCACCAAGGCGACGAUCAGUAGCGGGUCUGAGAGGAUGGUCCGCCACACUGGGACUGAGACACGGCCCAGACUCCUACGGGAGGCAGCAGUGGGGAAUUUUGGACAAUGGGCGCAAGCCUGAUCCAGCCAUGCCGCGUGUCUGAAGAAGGCCUUCGGGUUGUAAAGGACUUUUGUCCGGGAGCAAAUACCCAGUGCUAAUAACGCUGGGGGCUGAGAGUACCGGAAGAAUAAGCACCGGCUAACAACGUGCCAGCCGCCGCGGUAA